rnacentral:tRNA from 1 species
GGAUUGUAGCUCAGUGGUAGAGCGCUUGCCUAGUAUGUGUGACUCACUGGGUUCGAUCCUCAGCACCA